rnacentral:rRNA from 1 species
CAGUCGCCGCGGGAAUACGUAGGUGGCAAGCGUUGUCCGGAAUUAUUGGGCGUAAAGGGCUCGCAGGCGGUUUCUUAAGUCUGAUGUGAAAGCCCCCGGCUCAACCGGGGAGGGUCAUUGGAAACUGGGAAACUUGAGUGCAGAAGAGGAGAGUGGAAUUCCACGUGUAGCGGUGAAAUGCGUAGAGAUGUGGAGGAACACCAGUGGCGAAGGCGACUCUCUGGUCUGUAACUGACGCUGGGGAGCGAAAGCGUGGGGAGCGAACAGGAUUAGAUACCCCCGUAGUCCCUGUCUCUUAUAC